CUGUGGGGCGCUUGAGGUGGGCAGUGCUGUGUUGGACUGUGAGGGGAACUUGGUAGAUCGUUGAGGGUUGUGGUGGGUCUCUGGGGGCUGUGGUGGGUUAUUAGGAGCUGUAGGGCUUGGGGUGGGGUGUAAUUUGUAGCUGCGGGGUUGUGUGGGUGCUGUGGUGGUCUAUAGGGUGUGGCUUUGUGGGGGGCUACAGUGGGCUUGUGGAGCUUUGAGGGGCGUGUGGGCUCUGAGGUGUAAUUUGGGGCUUUAAAGGUGUGUUUUGGGUGCCCCAUUGGUCCGUAGUGAGCUGCAGGAGGACGCCCUGUGGGGCUGUAGGGGAGCGUUGGGGCUGUAGGACCUGAAGUGGGAUGUAAUUUGGGGUCGUAGUGGUGUGGGGCUGUAGUGGGCUACGAGUGUAAAGGGCUGCCCUGUGGGGCUGCAGCAGUGGACACCGUGGAGCUCGGGGUAGGACGUAGUUUGUGUCUGCAAGGCUGUAUGGGGGCUGUGGGAUCCAUCCCAUGGGGCUGUAGGGGGAUGCCCUGAGGGGCUGCAGUGGGUUGUAGGGUCAAGGGGAUGCUCCAUGAGCUGCGUGGGGGAGGGGCUGUAGCAAAACCCCAGCAUGAUGUGACCUCGUCCAGCUCCUGCGCUGAUCCCUGUUGAAAGCAAGUGAGAAUGCUGCAACAAAAUCUGGCUGCGGAUGAAACAUUCUUGCAGCAGCCUUGGAGGCUGAAUGUCAGCUGAGGAUCUCAAAAGUGAGGGGGAGCAGCAAACGCCUUGUCUCAAGACCCUUUUUCAGGACCUGAGGGAAUGGUGCUUCUACUGCAGCAGUGCAGCAAAAACUUGCAUGCAAGGAGAAAAUAUUCUACCUUGGCAUUUGGAGCCUCACUAACAAGCAGCCAGAGAGGAGCGAUGCCAUAUAAAACUUUAACUUCUAAAUAUGAAAUUUUGGAGAUUGCAAUGAGCAGAGAGUGCCAGCUCCAUGCCAGCAGUAGGGAGGAGGCAGAGGGAACGCCAUCAGCUCGCUACUUGCUGCUGCACAGAGCACAUAGCCCCAGGAGUUUCUCUGCCCGGUGUCCUGUUACCACUUGAAUCAAGAUGUGAAAGCCAAGCCAGCUUAUUUUUAGCACAAUUUGGACCUAAAGAAGCAAACGCUGGUGAAAUAUGCAGUACUGACAGCCCUGGAAAAUCUUUAUUCAUCUGCAGCACAGGAAGCAGGGAAGGAUGCGAGAAAGCAGAGCAAUCCCAAGCUACAAACCAAGUCUCUCAGCUUCUUGGACUCAGCCUCUCUAGCACUGCACAGAUCCUGGCGGUAGCUGGGAGAGGGUUUUUCCACGCUCAGAGCGGGCCUGGCACAGCAGGGAGGAGUGCGGCGUGCCGCAGAUUAGGACAGCCUGCAAGCCUCCAGCUGAGCUCACUACGUCUGUUGGAGCUCAACUGCAGCAACGGUGGGACUGUAAAAAUGGG
rnacentral:lncRNA from 1 species